GCAAACUUGGUCAUUUAGAGGAAGUAAAAGUCGUAACAAGGUUUCCGUAGGUGAACCUGCGGAAGGAUCAUUACUGCUUGCUUAUGGCUUCUGUGUGGGAAACUAUGCAGUUGUCAGGCUUGCUACCCUUGUCUAUACAACCCACCGUUAUCUCCCUCGGCAGGGUGACCUGUCGCUGGGGUCUAAACAACCUCUUGUUACAGUAUUAUCUUCAGAAACACACAAUAAUCACAACUUUUAACAAUGGAUCUCUUGGUUCUGGCAUCGAUGAAGAACGCAGC
rnacentral:misc_RNA from 1 species